UACCAGCACCCCGAGUGGUCGGGACGUUUAUUGGGCCUAAAGCAUCCGUAGCCGGUUCUACAAGUCUUCCGUUAAAUCCACCUGCUUAACAGAUGGGCUGCGGAAGAUACUAUAGAGCUAGGAGGCGGGAGAGGCAAGCGGUACUCGAUGGGUAGGGGUAAAAUCCGUUGAUCCAUUGAAGACCACCAGUGGCGAAGGCGGCUUGCCAGAACGCGCUCGACGGUGAGGGAUGAAAGCUGGGGGAGUAAACCGG
rnacentral:rRNA from 1 species